rnacentral:lncRNA from 1 species
AAAGGCUGCUCACUCAGAGCAGAUGGCGGAGCCUAAACCAAGAUGGAGGCCGCCCAGGGGGCUGGGGCUGAGACAACAUCCGUUGCUCUAUGCAAAUACUCCUUCUCACCACCUCUUAACCCGUGAAGCUUCUGGAGAAAAAGUGAAGACCUGGACCAUUGGGUCCCCAUUGUAAGGUAGUAACAAUAAUAACAACAAACAUAAUGAUGAUAAUUGUGAUUUAUUGAAUCUAUCUAGAUUCAUUACAACUCUAUGAGGUAUCGCUAGUCUUAUUUUAUAGAUCACCAUUCUAAGACUCAGAGAGGUUAAGUAAUUUGGCUAAUGAGUGGCAGGGCUAGGACUCAAACCUAAGUCUAUCUGACUCCAAAUCUUGUUCUAUUUCAUGGACUCAGCUGCCUCCCUUUCAUGGUCUUCCUCAGACUCCAUUGUGUCCUUUUGUGCCUGUCCAGACCCCUCCCUACUUCCUCUGUGCGUGUAGUCAGAGGAGGUCCCUAGAGAUCCCAUCAAUCUGAACCCCUGUAAAAGGCCGUUUCCUCAUAACACACCCUGAACAUCUGUGAAAACAAUUUCUCCUCAAGCCUACAACUGAACCUCAUAAUAAAAACUCACCCUCCAAUAUAGACUUAAAAAAA